rnacentral:rRNA from 1 species
UCUACGGGAGGCAGCAGUGGGGAAUAUUGCACAAUGGGGGAAACCCUGAUGCAGCGACGCCGCGUGAGUGAAGAAGUAUUUCGGUAUGUAAAGCUCUAUCAGCAGGGAAGAAAUAGCGACCUUUGGGUCGCCAGACGGUACCUGACUAAGAAGCCCCGGCUAACUACGUGCCAGCAGCCGCGGUAAUAAGUAGGGGGCAAGCGUUAUCCGGAGUUACUGGGUGUAAAGGGAGCGUAGACGGCAGCACAAGACUGAAGUGAAAGGCCGGGGCUUAACCCCGGAACUGCUUUGGAAACUGUGCAUCUAGAGUGCAGGAGAGGGAAGUGGAUUUACUAGUGUAGCGGUGAAAUGCGUAGAUAUUAGGAGGAACACCAGUGGCGAAGGCGGCUUACUGGACUGUAACUGACGUUGAGGCUCGAAAGCGUGGGGAGCAAACAGGAUUAGAUACCCUGGUAGUC